CUACGGGUCGCACCAGUGGGGAAUAUUGCACAAUGGGCGCAAGCCUGAUGCAGCCAUGCCGCGUGUAUGAAGAAGGCCUUCGGGUUGUAAAGUACUUUCAGCGGGGAGGAAGGGAGUAAAGUUAAUACCUUUGCUCAUUGACGUUACCCGCAGAAGAAGCACCGGCUAACUCCGUGCCAGCAGCCGCGGUAAUACGGAGGGUGCAAGCGUUAAUCGGAAUUACUGGGCGUAAAGCGCACGCAGGCGGUUUGUUAAGUCAGAUGUGAAAUCCCCGGGCUCAACCUGGGAACUGCAUCUGAUACUGGCAAGCUUGAGUCCCGUAGAGGGGGGUAGAAUUCCAGGUGUAGCGGUGAUAUGCGUAGAGAUCUGGAGGAAUACCAGUGGCGAAGGCGGCCCCCUGGACGAAGACUGACGCUCAGGUGCGAAAGCGUGGGGAGCAAACAGGAUUAGAUACCCGCGUAGUC
rnacentral:rRNA from 1 species